AGACACUGGGAUGGCUGCACCUUUACCCGUCCUCUCCAACUCUCUCCACCUAGAAAGUAUUCUUUUCUCUUAAUUUUGUUAGAGUUAUAUAGGAAUGCUCCUUCAGCAGAAAUGACAGAGGCUGUUGCUCUCAGAAUCAAAUGCAAUAAUGUGACCUGUAAAUUCCUGUGAAUAUUUGGAUAUUUUAGCGAUAUUUGUUUAUUCAGAAGAGAUUCUGGAUGCAGAACUCUCCUCCUCUCUGUUCUCUAACCCUGCUUUCCACCAUCAUUCUUCUCUCUCUAGGGCACAGAGAGAAUUAAGAACAACCUAAGGGUCAUUACAAUGAUCUAACUGCCUUACCUGCUUUUGAACUGGUUGAGCCUCUUGUGGGACCGAAAACAAAAGAAGGGUGUUGAAAUGCAAAUAGAUAACUCUGGGUCCCAGUCCCUGACUGCAAAAGGAAGCCAAAACUGACAACAACGUCUCCUUCUCUACGGAGGUUUGUAGAAAGGCUGUACAAAAAUCUCACAAGAUGUAUUUCUUCUCGUGGACUGGAGUCCCAAGGUGCUUAAGAGCUCUUCAAUUUGUUAAUGGAAAGAAACACCAUUUACACCGGAUGGCUACAAAGCAACCUUAUUCUGAGGGAGAUUUGAGACAGGAGAAGAGAAGACACGAAGGAGGGAAGGAAGUGAUGUGACCACAGAGGCAGCGAUUGGAGUGAUGUAGUCACAAGCCAAGGAGCACCAACAGCCACCAGGAGCUGGAAGAGCCCAAGAGAUGAGUGCAGCGUUGGCUCACUGCAGCCUCGAUCUCCUGGGCUCAAGCGAUCUUCCCACCUCAGCCUCCUGAGUAACUAGGACCACAG
rnacentral:lncRNA from 1 species